GACGAACGCUGGCGGCGUGCUUAACACAUGCAAGUCGAACGGAAAGGCCCUGCUUUUGUGGGGUGCUCGAGUGGCGAACGGGUGAGUAACACGUGAGUAACCUGCCCUUGACUUUGGGAUAACUUCAGGAAACUGGGGCUAAUACCGGAUAGGAGCUCCUGCUGCAUGGUGGGGGUUGGAAAGUUUCGGCGGUUGGGGAUGGACUCGCGGCUUAUCAGCUUGUUGGUGGGGUAGUGGCUUACCAAGGCUUUGACGGGUAGCCGGCCUGAGAGGGGGACCGGCCACAAUGGGACUGAGAGACGGCCCAGACUCCUACGGGAGGCAGCAGUGGGGAAUAUUGCACAAUGGGCGGAAGCCUGAUGCAGCAACGCCGCGUGCGGGAUGACGGCCUUCGGGUUGUAAACCGCUUUCGCCUGUGACGAAGCGUGAGUGACGGUAAUGGGUAAAGAAGCACCGGCUAACUACGUG
rnacentral:rRNA from 1 species